rnacentral:rRNA from 1 species
ACAUGCAAGUAGAACGCUGAAGAGAGGAGCUUGCUCUUCUUGGAUGAGUUGCGAACGGGUGAGUAACGCGUAGGUAACCUGCCUUGUAGCGGGGGAUAACUAUUGGAAACGAUAGCUAAUACCGCAUAACAAUGGAUGACCCAUGUCAUUUAUUUGAAAGGGGCAAAUGCUCCACUACAAGAUGGACCUGCGUUGUAUUAGCUAGUAGGUGAGGUAACGGCUCACCUAGGCGACGAUACAUAGCCGACCUGAGAGGGUGAUCGGCCACACUGGGACUGAGACACGGCCCAGACUCCUACGGGAGGCAGCAGUAGGGAAUCUUCGGCAAUGGGGGCAACCCUGACCGAGCAACGCCGCGUGAGUGAAGAAGGUUUUCGGAUCGUAAAGCUCUGUCGUAAGUCAAGAACGAGUGUGAGAGUGGAAAGUUCACACUGUGACGGUAGCUUACCAGAAAGGGACGGCUAACUACGUGCCAGCAGCCGCGGUAAUACGUAGGUCCCGAGCGUUGUCCGGAUUUAUUGGGCGUAAAGCGAGCGCAGGCGGUUUGAUAAGUCUGAGGUUAAAGGCUGUGGCUCAACCAUAGUUCGCUUUGGAAACUGUCAAACUUGAGUGCAGAAGGGGAGAGUGGAAUUCCAUGUGUAGCGGUGAAAUGCGUAGAUAUAUGGAGGAACACCGGUGGCGAAAGCGGCUCUCUGGUCUGUAA